rnacentral:misc_RNA from 1 species
AGAAACACAGAAGAACGCGCAACUGUGUCAUUAUACGGACGGCAAAACAGCAGCAAAAGAUUCUUUCAUAUAUAAACGCAUAUAUAUAUAUAGUUGUUUCACUGCUGCCUGUACGGCAACCAUCGGUGCCAUUGGUUGACUGGGAAACCACUGUAGCAACAUCGAAGGCAGAAAAGGAAAACGAGCGCAAUGAUCACCACGAGCGGCCGCGUCGUUCGCAAGGGCGGCAAUGCGCCAAAUAGCCGGAAGGCUCCACCACCCAAGCAGACACCUCAGGAGCAGAUCGAGGACGCACUGCAGGCACGCGACUUCUCGAAGGCGACCACCAUCUUAGAGUUUUACAAGACAAGCGGACAGAGCCUCGGCAACCUUUCCAUUAACGAAUGGCUCGCCUACAGCGCCUUCCACGCGAAUGACAUGGAGAAGGCCAUUGAGGUGUACAAGGACAUUCUCGCGCUGGACGACUGUGCGCCGAUCAACCACACGUACCUGGGCUGCUGCUACUACAUGAACGGCUCGUUCAAGGAGGCGGAGGAAUGUGCCUUACGCGGCCCCGAGUGCCCCCUUCAGACGCGGCUGAUGUUGCACAUUGCGCAGAAGACGCAUGACGAGGAGAAGCUCAUGAUCUAUCACGGCAAGCUACAGGAUACGAUCGAGGAUCAGCUCUCGCUGGCUGCGGCGCAGUACAUUCGCAACCAUUACACUGAGGCCAUCGAGGCCUAUAAGCCCAUUCUUGCUCAGACGAGGGAGUACAAAGCCCUCAACGUUUACGUGGCGAUGUGCUACUUCAAACUGGACUACUACGAGGUGAGCGUCAGUGUGCUGAAUGUGUACCUGCAGUCCUACAGCAACAGCGCGGUGGCCAUCAAUCUCAAAGCUGCGAAUCACUAUCGCCUGUUCAACAACAAGGCGGCGAAGAGCGAGCUGAAGCUGCUGAUCGAUCUUCAACGCACCACUUACUACGUUGAGACGGACAUUGUAAAGCACAACCUGGUCGUUUUCAACAACGGCGAGGGCGCCCUGCAAGUCCUGCCGUCGAUGCUAGAUGUCGGUAUUCCAGAGGCACGCCUGAACUUGGUCAUCUAUCACCUGCGCCAUGAGUGCAUCAACGAAGCUUAUGAGCUGAUGGCCGAUGUGGUGCCACUCACAACGCAGGAGUACAUAUUGAAGGCCGUCGUCAACGCGUACGUAGGCCAAAACAUGGAGUCACAGGAGCAUCUCAAGGUGUGCAAAGAAAUCUUCAACUACGUGGGCUCCUCGGCGAGUGACCGCGAUACGAUCCCUGGCCGACAGUGCAUGGCGUCGUACUUUUUUCUGCUGCGCGACUUCCCCAACGUGCUCAUCUACUUGCGUUCAAUCAAGCCGUACUUCAGCAAGGACGACACCUUUCUUUACCUCUACGGUAUCGCGUGCGCUGGUACUGGGGAGUACGCCGAGGCGGAGCAGAGCCUGCUCGCCGUCAGCUCCGACAAGAUCAAGGCAGAGUUCAGCUACACAAGCUGGCUGGUGCGGUCGCACAUCAUGAAUAAGCACCCCAAGAUGGCGUGGGAUAUCUACCUGAAGAAGGAGAUGGGCGAGUCCAUCGGAAUCUUGCGGCUCCUCGCGAAUGACUGCUACCGCACAAGUGCCUUUUACUACGCAGCCAAGGCGUUUGACGUGCUGGAGCGACUCGACAGCGAUCCCGAGUAUGUGGAAGGCAAGAAAGGGGCGUGCAUAGGUGUGUUUCAGCAGGUCUUCGCCAACGAGGAGCCUGCCGAGUCCUUGCUCGACGUGAUGAAGAUGAUUGAAGCGAGUCUGCAGCGACACGCCGAUGAACCGCCAGUGGUGCAGCAGUUUUCCAACAUGCUGGCGCUGAUGAAAGACUGGGCAAAGGAUGCGAAGCUGAAGCGCCGGUGACAGUGUGAGAUUUCGUCUUAUCACGGGUCUUGUGUUCGCGUUUACUUUUUGUUUGUUGUCGUUUGUUCUCGCUUUGCGCCCUUCGAUGAAAUUGUCGCAUGUACAGCCAGCGCGUCUCGAACUCUCCUUGCGCUUCGGUUCCUCAUACAGUUCCUUUUAUGUGCAUCUUUUUUGAUCCUCUCGAGAGGUGUGACGUUGAUGGGGCAAUUCCUGGCAUGCCGUUCUUCAUUCCUCUGCAGUCUACAAUCCGAGGACAUGAUUCCGCCCUUCCUUC